UCGGCCCCGGUUCACGUCAGGCAACCCGCCUGUCGACCCGGUGCC
rfam:Streptomyces bingchenggensis BCW-1, complete genome.